rnacentral:rRNA from 1 species
UAGGGAAUCUUCCGCAAUGGACGCAAGUCUGACGGAGCAACGCCGCGUGAGUGAAGAAGGGUUUCGGUUCGUAAAACUCUGUUGUUAGAGAAGAACAGUGCAUAGAGUAACUGUUAUGCGUGUGACGGUAUCUAACCAGAAAGCCACGGCUAACUACGUGCCAGCAGCCGCGGUAAUACGUAGGUGGCAAGCGUUGUCCGGAUUUAUUGGGCGUAAAGCGAGCGCAGGCGGUCAAUUAAGUCUGAUGUGAAAGCCCCCGGCUCAACCGGGGAGGGUCAUUGGAAACUGGUUGACUUGAGUGCAGAAGAGGAGAGUGGAAUUCCAUGUGUAGCGGUGAAAUGCGUAGAUAUAUGGAGGAACACCAGUGGCGAAGGCGACUCUCUGGUCUGUAACUGACGCGGAGGCUCGAAAGCGUGGGUAGCAAACAGG